UGCAUUGGGGUGAGGACAGGAGGGCCAGGUCUGCAGCCUUGUAUCUGCUGAGCCUCUUUUGUCCUUCCCACUCCAG
ensembl:miRNA